rnacentral:misc_RNA from 1 species
CUUAUACUUUGGACAACCGAGGCGAGACGAUGUUAGAUGAAUCUUCAGGCAAUACUUCCACGGUCUUGGACUUUGGAGCUGGCCAUGUUCACCCACAAAAGGCAAUGGACCCUGGUUUAAUCUAUGACCUGAACACAUUUGAUUAUGUUGAUUUCUUGUGUAACUCCAACUACACCACUAAGAAUAUCCAAGUCAUUACAGGGAAGAUUGCAGAUUGUAGUGGGG